rnacentral:lncRNA from 1 species
UUAGAAGAGAAAGACCAGGCAUUAGAAGAGAAAAACCAGGCACUCUUCACCAAAGAUCUACAGCUGUCUAUGCUGAGACAAGAGUUACAAGAAAUGCGUGAACGUCAAAGACCUCGGUCAGCUCCCCUGGACAGACUGGACUUUGAGACAGAAGACCAAUCUGACGACCCGGAUGUGAGAGAGGGUCAGAACAGUAGUCAUAUUGAAGAUGUAAAUCUGAUGUCUUGCCCAAUGUGUCAUGAUGCGCCCAUCCAAGUUUUGCUGCGUCCAUGUAAACAUCUGUGUGGCUGUGCUCUGUGUGUCUCCAAACUGGACGGACGAUGUCCUUAUUGUAGACGCUUCACCACUGGGAUGGAGAAAGUUUUUGUCCCAUGAGGAUAAAUAUUGAUACUUUUUUUUAUACGUGUUACAUGAUAGAUUCUCUUGAAAUGAGAGACUUUGCAUUUUAAAUUGCUCUUUUAUAAAUUAUUUAAAUUUGGGUUGUUUCGUCUGGUUGUAAAUUAUGACUAUUUUACCCAACCUAACAUGACUUAAGGCUCUGUUGUGAUAGAUAAUCCCCUUACCUUAGAAAAGAGACAUGUCUCCUCGAAAUAUUAAUUAAACAGGAUAAAAAUUUCUUUUGUAAUAAAUUACAAGUAAAUCUAGAUUUGGGCCAAUUGCGAAGGGGAAACUGCCAGAUGAUUUUGUGGAAGAUAGCUACGCAGUCGAGUGUUUUGAAGACAGGUGAUGGUGGGCAAAUUGAUGGGAUUGGUUUUAAAGAUUAAAAACUGUUUAAAUGGCUUCUACAUAAAUGGUACCGUACUUUGUACACCAGAUUUCUCAAAAUUAACUUUUGGUGAGACAUUGUUCAUACUGAGAGAAUAGUCUCAUGCUCAUAGUGUGUGAACUGUUGAUGUCUAUUCUAAGUAACCUGUCAUGUUUCAAAUUCAGGAUGAUAAUGAUUUAGGAACCAUAUUUGACACUUUUUCUAGAUAAACACCACUUGUCCAAGUCACAGGCAUCUCUAGUGUCCUUGUUAGGCUCUUUGUCAUAGGACGCAAAUAACCUGAGUCAGAGCGCACAUGGAAUCUUUUUUGUCAAGUAUCUCCUUUCUCUCUGCCGAGAUGCUGUAGGCCUACCACUCUCAGCCUGGGUUGGUCCUCACAGUAGGAUUAGAAAGCCAGCUUCAUUAAUGCUCUAAAUUGUAUUGAUGGGGUCAUAAAACAGUUUGGUUUUUUAAAAGUAAGUCGUUUGUAGCUGACUGUCUUAAAUUUGGGGUUUUUCGACAAGGAUAUUCUGAUCUCAUACAAGAGGGCAAAAACACAAAUAUGCUGUUUUUUGUUUUUUUUCUCAUUUUGUCUUGUCCUCGUUACAAAAACACACAGGUCUAAACUAUUGUUUCUGUCAUACUUUUGAUCUAUUUUUUUCUUCAAUUAAUUCAUUACCAUGUUGACCCUCGCAUGUUUUUUUUAAAGUCAUUGCUAAAGUUGUUGUGUAAAGUCUUGAUAUAAAAUUGCGAAUUUCUUCCAAUGCAGAUACAUUGCAUCCUGAACAAAAGGUCUCUUCAUUUGUCAAGUCUUACUUCAUUUUACAAUUGUUGCAAGCUUAUUUCAAGCAGACAGUGUUUACUUUAUUUGUAAUAUAUUUUUUGUUUCAACGUGGUGUCUUGUUUAUAGUACAUAAUAUGCUCUACACAUGUUGCAAACCAUAGUUUUACUGAUAAAAUACAAAUGCACUGCCCAAAAAGGCUAUUGAUAUGAUUCUUUAUAUAUAUGACGCAAAUAAAUUUAGAAUGUUAGGCAUGAUAUGGUCCAUCCUAUGAAUUCGCAAAAGUUGGCAGCAGAUAUUUUCAUUAGUCAUUUAGGAACAUGCCCAUUGUCACAUUACUCACAUCAUUGUUUCAGAUCAUACAAGAGGACUUUAACAGAAAAUCUUUAAGUGCUCAUGAUUUAUUUGCAGUCAUAAUAAUUGGUUGGGAAAACGCACUUACUCGUACGAUAUAAAGUGAGACAAUGCAGUGCAUAGCAAAAAUUAACUCUGUACACACAAACUUUGCCAGGGAACAUGAUGUUCAUUAAUGUUCUUGAAUAUUUUUAUGAGACUGUUAUGAUUCUCCUGAUUUGUCCCUCUGUGAAAAAGAGUAAGAAAUGUACACCUGUUACAUUUGUCUAUAAAAUGGAACUAACUAUCCUUUUGCAUUUUGUGGCCCUAGUUAUCCGGCAUUUUUUGUAGGCCUAUUUAUAAAAUGAGAACAACCCUUCAGUUUUUUUCUUUUUCCCUUCUAAGCAUCACAUUUAUUGGCACUGUAGAAAUACCAACUGAAAAUGUCUUUUAAGUGAAAUUUUUACACAAAUUUUUAUCAAUUUAAUUUCUUUUUCCUUCUACAUUUCUUUUACCUUGGUACGGUACUCCAAGCAAACAGACCACACCUUUGAUAGUUUUAUUUAUGAGAAUUAUUGAUUUUGAAUGGCAGCUGUGCAUCUUUUUAAAAUUUUUACCAUCAAGGACAUUUUUGUAGAUUUAAAGGACUCGAAAGAUUAGUUUGAUGUGGAGAUUCCUGUGCCACAGGAGUGAUGGCCCAUGUUAGUGUAUGGCAUUUACUGUUAUUUGGAAGGAGAAGUAAUCAUCUCAGCAUAAAAAAGGUAGUUUGUCUAGAAACUCCUGCACAAGCUUUUUUAUAUACUCUUUUUGUUAUCUGCAGUAUUGUUUUAAGGAUUGUAUUUGUAUUUGUUGGAUUGAAGUACAGUUGUCUCCGCCUAAGAUCCCAGUGCUCAGGAGCAAGGAAAAUGCUGGAUCUUAGGCGAAUGGAAUCUUCGCUGACGAACCCAGGAAGGAACCUACGGAGACCCAUGUUAAGGCUCACAAUCGGUAAAAUGGUCUCCCUUCACUCUGAAAUUAACUGAUGUGACCCUUGAGUGGGUUUAUGACAUGGUGAGCAAAGAGUUGUCAAUUUUGAUGACCAAUGACAGUGGCAUGAGGCAUGCCAUUUAUACUUAUUAUCCUAUCGUGAGUUUCGAGAUCUAGUGAAAUGGAGAGCUCAGAUGCGAGUGCGAUGUUUGAGGAUAACAAAUGCGAUGGUCAGUUCACACCUCGGUGUGAUCCCGUCUGGGGCAAACAUUGUACUGUUUUAUCAAGUUUUACAACGCUUAUGUGAUCACAUUCCAGGGAGUGACUGACCUUUGACGCGAGGGGCAGUUCAUUGAUCUCAACUUUUCACUCUUGGUUGAUCAGCUGUGCCCGCCUGGGAUUUUGUUCCAUAAAUUAUGAUCUGAAAUGCAGGGUCUUACCCGAAUGUAGUAUGUAGACCUUCAGAGUGAAUAAGAGCAGGAUCUUAAGGGUGACUUUUGUAUAGUAAAAAUUUUGUUUUCUUAAAACAGCGGGAUCUUAUUAAGCGAAACAGGAUCGUAAGCAGUGGGAUCUUAGGCGGAGACUACCGUAUAUUGUUACUACUAUAUUUACUUAUGGCUGAUUUAUUAAUUAUUUAAUUAUUAUUAUUUCACUUCUCACAUGGUUUGUUUUGAUUUGGGGGGGGGGGUGGAUUUGAAUUGUACAUUACUGUAGAAACUUUUGAAACUGUCUUUUACAUUACUGCCCAUGUUACAAAACAUUUGAACCAAGUAUUUAUACUUAAUUUUUACCGGUCCUGUGACCAUUUUGUUUUGGUUUCAUGACUAAAAUUGUGUCAAUUUGUUCACAUGAAAUGCUCUAUUGUAAAAAUUUUCAUAAGUUCAUUUAUCACAGAUCAUCAUGGCAUUUCAGUGCUGAGUUAUUAUUAUGCAAUUUCUCAUACUUUCCGGAGUUUGGUGAUACUGUAUAAUCAGUCUUGGAUUUGUGUUUGUUUUUAUCAGUUAAUGGUAUUAGUCACAUGGCAUGAAGUUUGUUUCUGAUAUGUUAUAGCAAUAAUUUGUCACAAUUUGUGAUCUUUUGUUGAUAAAGAAUUUGUUGUUGCUUAUUCUGGAAAAAGCAACAACUUCUAUUUGUUUCUCUUCCAGACGUUUUUUUCUUUUUUAAAACACGAUUUAUUUCUGGUCUCCAUUGCAUGAUUGGCAGCUGUAUGUUUGGUCAGUCUGUAUAUAUAUAUAUAUAUAUAUAAAACAUUUUUCCAAAUUGUACAUGGUUAAUAUAAAUCUGACUCUCUGUGUGUGGUUCUAUGUGCUUGCACUUGCAUCUGUGUAUGAGAGUAGAUUCAAUAGUGGCAGCAUCUGUGAUGUAAUGGUUAAGUGCAUCGCCUUGCUGUCAAGGGACUCAAGUUUGAUUUCUAUAUGGGGAAAGCGUUUCCAUCUUUUAUCUAUGAUAUAUAUAUAUAUAUAUCCCACUCUGUCUAUGUUAACCCUGACAGAUAGGGCUAAAGUUGCCUAUUUCUAAAUGAACUAUAUAGGGGGGGGGGGAAGGGUUGUAAUAUUCUAUCACAUAUUACUAUAAAAGAGGAAUAUAAUGGAGAAAGAUGGAUGGAAUAGAAAGACAUAUUGGGAAAGGGGUAUAGUAUACUUAUCGCAUAUUACUCUAUAAAAAUGGAAUACAACAGAGAAAGAUGGUAACAUAGGAAGAGAAUGAUAAAGUGGUUGGACUGGAAGGCAUGAGAGGAUGCGGAUCAUGCCUCCAUAGACACAAUUCAGUUAAUCUAAAAGGUAGGCUACCUUGACCCUUCCUGUCAGAGCCAACCUGUGAAUAGUGGGGUACAGCAUCCCAGUACACAGGUGGAGGUAUUCUGUUAAAUAUACUAUCCCUCUUUGAAUCAAACCCAAGGCUUCUAUGUGCAAGGCAAAGAGCUUUACCCUUACACCAGAGACAGCAAUAAAAGAGAGAAAGGUGUGAGACAGUACAGACCAAA